GGUGAUAGACGAGGAGCAAAGUGAUCAAGGCAAGGGUAUAAACAUAGGGUUUUACUUUUGCCGGUCUAAGAUGAGUAGAGAAGUGAUUGACCGGGUUUAGGAUAGAUAGCCGACUAUCAAGAGGGGAAAUCACGGUUAUCUCUCGAAUCAAGUGCUACUAGGUCCAUGUCUUGAGCAUAUGCAUUAGGAUCUAGUAAAGUGCUAACUUAACUCCUUUGGUGAAAAUAUUUGUGAAAAGCUAACACACUUGCACUUUGGUGGUGGACACUUGUUGGUGUUAGCACAUUUCCAAAGGAGGUGGAGUUCCUAGGGUUGAGAGGG
rnacentral:lncRNA from 1 species